rnacentral:rRNA from 1 species
UACGAAGGGGGCUAGCGUUGUUCGGAUUUACUGGGCGUAAAGCGCACGUAGGCGGAUCGUUAGGUCGGGGGUGAAAUCCUGGAGCUCAACUCCAGAACUGCCUUCGAUACUGGCGAUCUUGAGUCCGGAAGAGGUGAGUGGAACUCCUAGUGUAGAGGUGGAAUUCGUAGAUAUUAGGAAGAACACCAGUGGCGAAGGCGGCUCACUGGUCCGGUACUGACGCUGAGGUGCGAAAGCGUGGGGAGCAAACA